rnacentral:ncRNA from 1 species
GAAUUAUUUGAUUCUAGUUAUUUAUUAGUUCAUUUUAUUAAAUUAUAUGGAUUUUUGUAUAAAUAUUUUUUUUCCAGUAAUUAAUAUUAAUAUAUAGUUUAAUAACUGAAUUAGAAAUUAAAUUGAUAAUAGAUAAAACUUGUGCCAGCAUUCGCGGUUAUACAAGUUAUUAGAACUAAUUUUAUUAGAUUUUAAAUUUAUUAAUUUAUUAAGGAAUUUUAAGUUAAAUAUUUAGGUGGAAUUUAUAUUUAAUGUUUAUUUCUUUAUUAAUAAAAAUUUAAGAAAUUUUCUUUAUAAACUAGGAUUAGAUACCCUAUUAUUUUUUAUUUAAAUUUUUAAAUCUAGAAUUGUAUUAGUUAUGUUCUUUAAAGCUCAAAGGAUUUGGCGGUUAAAGAUCUUUUUAGAGGAACCUGUUUAUUAAUUUGAUAAUCCACGAUAGUUUAUACUUUAUAAAUAUUUGUAUACCGCUAUGUUAGAAUGUUUUUAUAGAACUAUUUUCUUUUUCUUUAUAGAUUAAUAUUAGGUCAAGGUGCAGUUUUUAUGAAGGUUAAAUGGGUUACUUUUAUAUUAAAAAUUUCAUUAUAGGAUUGUUGAGUUAAAAACUUUUUUAUGAAUUAGGAUUUAAUAGUAAAAUUAAUUAAUUUAUUUAUUUUAAUAUUGCUCUCUUUAAUGUACAUAUCGCCCGUCACUCCUAAGAUUUAUUUAGGAUAAGUCGUAACAAAGUAAUUUUACCUGAAGGUGAAGUUAGAAAGUUUAAU